rnacentral:tRNA from 1 species
GAAGGUAUAGCUCAGUUGUGGAGUGCAAGCCUAACAUGCACAAGGUCCUGGGUUCAAUCCCCAGUGCCUCCA